CCCUCUUUUGAACCUGCUGUGGUUUGGCUGAUCCCUACAAGCCCAGCAACCCUAUUUCCUUAAACAUCACCACAGUGAUUGUCAAGAACAGAGGGAGAAGCCCGGACUGCGGCCCACAAACUCAGACAUGCCUGAAAGAGAUAGAAGCUUGACUGCUGGUUUCAUGGAGGAGUUUGCUGCAGGUGUUCAGUUCACAUUUUUCGACCUGCCAGAAAGCAAGACCAUUGUCAAGCGACUAUAACAUUCUUGUCUUUGGCUACGUCUCUUCUAUCAUCAUUGCCCUU
rnacentral:lncRNA from 1 species